rnacentral:rRNA from 1 species
CAGCAGCCGCGGGAAUACGAAGGGGGCUAGCGUUGUUCGGAAUUACUGGGCGUAAAGGGCGCGUAGGCGGCCAUUCAAGUUAGAUGUGAAAGCCCUGGGCUCAACCUAGGAAUUGCAUUUGACACUGUUUGGCUUGAGUUCGGGAGAGGUGAGUGGAAUUCCCAGUGUAGAGGUGAAAUUCGUAGAUAUUGGGAAGAACACCAGUGGCGAAGGCGGCUCACUGGACCGACACUGACGCUGAGGCGCGAAAGCGUGGGGAGCAAACAGGAUUAGAUACCCGGGUAGUCCCUGUCUCUUAUAC